rnacentral:tRNA from 1 species
UCUCUUAGCUCAGUUGGUAGAGCAAAUGACUCUUAAUCAUUGGGCCCAGGGUUCGAGUCCCUGAGAGAGCA